rnacentral:rRNA from 1 species
UAGCAAUUAUACCGCGAAACUGCGAAUGGCUCAUUAUAUAAGUUAUCGUUUAUUUGAUAAUACUUUACUACUUGGAUAACCGUGGUAAUUCUAGAGCUAAUACAUGCUGAAAAUCCCGACUUCGGAAGGGAUGUAUUUAUUAGAUUAAAAACCAAUGCCCCUCGGGGCUCUCUGGUGAAUCAUGAUAACUAGUCGAAUCGACAGGCCUUGUGCCGGCGAUGGCUCAUUCAAAUUUCUUCCCUAUCAACUUUCGAUGUUUGGGUAUUGGCCAAACAUGGUGGCAACGGGUAACGGAGGGUUAGGGCUCGACCCCGGAGAAGGAGCCUGAGAAACGGCUACUACAUCCAAGGAAGGCAGCAGGCGCGCAAAUUACCCAAUCCCGACACGGGGAGGUAGUGACAAUAAAUACUGAUACAGGGCUCUUUUGGGUCUUGUAAUCGGAAUGAGUACAAUUUAAAUCCCUUAACGAGGAACAAUUGGAGGGCAAGUCUGGUGCCAGCAGCCGCGGUAAUUCCAGCUCCAAUAGCGUAUAUUAAAGUUGUUGUGGUUAAAAAGCUCGUAGUUGAACCUUGGGCCUGGCUGGCCGGUCCGCCUCACCGCGUGCACUGGUCCGGCCGGGCCUUUCCCUCUGCGGAACCCCAUGCCCUUCACUGGGUGUGGCGGGGAAACAGGACUUUUACUUUGAAAAAAUUAGAGUGCUCAAGGCAGGCCUAUGCUCGAAUACAUUAGCAUGGAAUAAUAGAAUAGGACGUGUGGUUCUAUUUUGUUGGUUUCUAGGACCGCCGUAAUGAUUAAUAGGGACAGUCGGGGGCAUCAGUAUUCAAUUGUCAGAGGUGAAAUUCUUGGAUUUAUUGAAGACUAACUACUGCGAAAGCAUUUGCCAAGGAUGUUUUCAUUAAUCAGGAACGAAAGUUAGGGGAUCGAAGACGAUCAGAUACCGUCGUAGUCUUAACCAUAAACUAUGCCGACUAGGGAUCGGACGAUGUUACAUUUUUGACGCGUUCGGCACCUUACGAGAAAUC